CUUGAGUCCUUCCCCACUCAUAGGAAAAUUAAAACACAGGAAAGCAGCUGGAUCAGCUACUGCCUUUCACUACAGUUACCAUUUUAGGUUAUGGAUCAAGGUUGAACUGUACAGAGGGAGUGCAGCCACAAGGCUCUGGCUGUGCCGGGCCUCCCACCAGCCCGGGCCCCAAAGCAGCCCCAACUGUGCCUGGGUCUCCUCCAUCCUGUGCCCCAAAGCAGCCCCAACUGUGCCUGCUCCUCCUCCAUCCUGGGACCAAAGGCAGCCCCAACUGUGUCUGGUCCUCCUCCAUCCUAGGCCCCAAGUCCCAGGCUGUGCCUGGGCUCCCUUUCGUCUGGGCCCAGACAAGGCCUCAACUGUGCCUGGUCCAGCCCGGGCCCCAAAUCUGCCCCAUCUGUGCCAGGCCCCACUCCAGCCCAAGCCCCAAAGCCGCCCCAACUGUGCAAGGCCCAUCUCCAGCAAAGGCCUCAAAGCAGCUCCAAAUGUGCCAGGCCCCCCUCCAGCCUGAGCCCCAAAAGCAGCCCCAAGUGAGCCUGGUUCUCUUCCAUCCUGGGCCCCAAAGCCCUGGCUGUGCCUGGGCCCUUUUUGGUCUGGGCCCAGAAGAGGCCUCAACUGUGCUAGGCCCUUCUCCAGCCGGGCCCCCCCAGUGCAGCCCCAACUGCACCUGGUCCUCCUCCAUCCUGGGCCCCAACACAGCCCCAACUGAGCCUGGUUCUCCUCCAGCCUGGGCCCCGAGGCUCUACCUGUGCCUGGGCCCCCUUCCUUCUGGGCCCACACCAGGCCUCAACUGUGCCAGGCCCCCUCCAGCCUGGGCCCCGAGGCCACCACUGUGCUGGACCACCC
rnacentral:lncRNA from 1 species